rnacentral:rRNA from 1 species
CUGCGUACCUUUUGUAUAAUGGGUCAGCGACUUAUAUUCUGUAGCAAGGUUAACCGAAUAGGGGAGCCGAAGGGAAACCGAGUCUUAACUGGGCGUUAAGUUGCAGGGUAUAGACCCGAAACCCGGUGAUCUAGCCAUGGGCAGGUUGAAGGUUGGGUAACACUAACUGGAGGACCGAACCGACUAAUGUUGAAAAAUUAGCGGAUGACUUGUGGCUGGGGGUGAAAGGCCAAUCAAACCGGGAGAUAGCUGGUUCUCCCCGAAAGCUAUUUAGGUAGCGCCUCGUGAAUUCAUCUCCGGGGGUAGAGCACUGUUUCGGCAAGGGGGUCAUCCCGACUUACCAACCCGAUGCAAACUGCGAAUACCGGAGAAUGUUAUCACGGGAGACACACGGCGGGUGCUAACGUCCGUCGUGAAGAGGGAAACAACCCAGACCGCCAGCUAAGGUCCCAAAGUCAUGGUUAAGUGGGAAACGAUGUGGGAAGGCCCAGACAGCCAGGAUGUUGGCUUAGAAGCAGCCAUCAUUUAAAGAAAGCGUAAUAGCUCACUGGUCGAGUCGGCCUGCGCGGAAGAUGUAACGGGGCUAAACCAUGCACCGAAGCUGCGGCAGCGACGCUUAUGCGUUGUUGGGUAGGGGAGCGUUCUGUAAGCCUGUGAAGGUGUACUGUGAGGUAUGCUGGAGGUAUCAGAAGUGCGAAUGCUGACAUAAGUAACGAUAAAGCGGGUGAAAAGCCCGCUCGCCGGAAGACCAAGGGUUCCUGUCCAACGUUAAUCGGGGCAGGGUGAGUCGACCCCUAAGGCGAGGCCGAAAGGCGUAGUCGAUGGGAAACAGGUUAAUAUUCCUGUACUUGGUGUUACUGCGAAGGGGGGACGGAGAAGGCUAUGUUGGCCGGGCGACGGUUGUCCCGGUUUAAGCGUGUAGGCUGGUUUUCCAGGCAAAUCCGGAAAAUCAAGGCUGAGGCGUGAUGACGAGGCACUACGGUGCUGAAGCAACAAAUGCCCUGCUUCCAGGAAAAGCCUCUAAGCAUCAGGUAACAUCAAAUCGUACCCCAAACCGACACAGGUGGUCAGGUAGAGAAUACCAAGGCGCUUGAGAGAACUCGGGUGAAGGAACUAGGCAAAAUGGUGCCGUAACUUCGGGAGAAGGCACGCUGAUAUGUAGGUGAAGCGACUUGCUCGUGGAGCUGAAAUCAGUCGAAGAUACCAGCUGGCUGCAACUGUUUAUUAAAAACACAGCACUGUGCAAACACGAAAGUGGACGUAUACGGUGUGACGCCUGCCCGGUGCCGGAAGGUUAAUUGAUGGGGUUAGCGGUAACGCGAAGCUCUUGAUCGAAGCCCCGGUAAACGGCGGCCGUAACUAUAACGGUCCUAAGGUAGCGAAAUUCCUUGUCGGGUAAGUUCCGACCUGCACGAAUGGCGUAAUGAUGGCCAGGCUGUCUCCACCCGAGACUCAGUGAAAUUGAACUCGCUGUGAAGAUGCAGUGUACCCGCGGCAAGACGGAAAGACCCCGUGAACCUUUACUAUAGCUUGACACUGAACAUUGAGCCUUGAUGUGUAGGAUAGGUGGGAGGCUUUGAAGUGUGG